rnacentral:rRNA from 1 species
AACGAACGCUGGCGGCAGGCUUAACACAUGCAAGUCGAGCGCCCCGCAAGGGGAGCGGCAGACGGGUGAGUAACGCGUGGGAAUCUACCCAGUUCUACGGAAUAACCCAGGGAAACUUGGACUAAUACCGUAUACGCCCUACGGGGGAAAGAUUUAUCGGAAUUGGAUGAGCCCGCGUUGGAUUAGCUAGUUGGUGGGGUAAUGGCCUACCAAGGCGACGAUCCAUAGCUGGUCUGAGAGGAUGAUCAGCCACACUGGGACUGAGACACGGCCCAGACUCCUACGGGAAGCAGCAGUGGGGAAUAUUGGACAAUGGGCGAAAGCCUGAUCCAGCCAUGCCGCGUGAGUGAUGAAGGCCUUAGGGUUGUAAAGCUCUUUCAGUGGGGAAGAUAAUGACGGUACCCACAGAAGAAGCCCCGGCUAACUUCGUGCCAGCCGCCGCAGUAAUAC